ACAUGCUGUUUUAUGGAUCGUUAGGGAGAUGCCCAAUUUGCAAUAGUAAAUUGGAAUUUGAAGGUAAAAGAUAUACUUGCAAAGGAAUGUACAGUGAGUGGUCUACAUGCACAUUCAGAACAAAAGAUCCACAGAGGAGGGAGGAGCCAGUCAAAAUACCAGAUUCUGUCCUCAAAUCUGUUGAUUUAGACUUGAUUUAGAAGUAUCAAAUGACUCAAAAAUGGAUGAAAAGCUUGGUUUUGAAGAAGAUAAGGGCAGUGAAGAUAACCACAACCAGAACAACACCAACAACGUUGAGAACAACAAUGCAACUAUGGAUAGUUGUGGGGAAGAUUGUGUUGAAGCUGUGAUGGUGGAGAAGGCUGGGGAGUAUUUAAGCUGUAUGUUGUGGGAGAAACUAAGUUGGAAGCUCAAAAGAGGAUUGUACUCUUAAGGAUUUCAAGUAUGGAUGUGUUGGUUACUCAGUAUACUUGGACAAUAAAGAUUCAUCAACUGAUAAGAUGGAUAAAGAAGCAGAAUUGCCCUUCUGUGUUGGGCUUGAGGUGAUGUAUUAUGAUCUCUUUUUUUUAUUGUUUCCUACGCUAUCGCAUUUUGUUGUGAAUUCUAAGAAUCCGUUGACAUAUUUUCUCACUCAUUUUUAAUAAUAUGUCAAUGUUAUUGUGGUUGCUGAGAUUUGGUUUUUAUGAUGUGCGACAGGCUACAUGUUUGAAGAAACAUCUGAAGAGGCUUAAUAAUUGAUGCAUUUUUAAAUGGAUACCGCUUUCAUGUUUAAUCUUUCUUCUAUAAUUCAUGAUUACUAAGAUAUGAGACUCCAAUUUUGUCACAGUUAAUAUAUUUUCUUUUUAUUUAUUUACUUUUGGUUAGUAGCUGUUAUUUUCAUAAAAAGGCAUAAUAUUUGUUACAAAAGUAUAUAUUAGUAAUUCAUGAU